rnacentral:rRNA from 1 species
UGAAGAGUUUGAUCAUGGCUCAGAUUGAACGCUGGCGGCAGGCCUAACACAUGCAAGUCGAACGGUAACAGGAAGCAGCUUGCUGCUUCGCUGACGAGUGGCGGACGGGUGAGUAAUGUCUGGGAAACUGCCUGAUGGAGGGGGAUAACUACUGGAAACGGUGGCUAAUACCGCAUAACGUCGCAAGACCAAAGAGGGGGACCUUCGGGCCUCUUGCCAUCAGAUGUGCCCAGAUGGGAUUAGCUAGUUGGUGAGGUAACGGCUCACCAAGGCGACGAUCCCUAGCUGGUCUGAGAGGAUGACCAGCCACACUGGAACUGAGACACGGUCCAGACUCCUACGGGAGGCAGCAGUGGGGAAUAUUGCACAAUGGGCGCAAGCCUGAUGCAGCCAUGCCGCGUGUAUGAAGAAGGCCUUCGGGUUGUAAAGUACUUUCAGCGGGGAGGAAGGUGUUGUGGUUAAUAACCGCAGCAAUUGACGUUACCCGCAGAAGAAGCACCGGCUAACUCCGUGCCAGCAGCCGCGGUAAUACGGAGGGUGCAAGCGUUAAUCGGAAUUACUGGGCGUAAAGCGCACGCAGGCGGUCUGUCAAGUCGGAUGUGAAAUCCCCGGGCUCAACCUGGGAACUGCAUUCGAAACUGGCAGGCUUGAGUCUUGUAGAGGGGGGUAGAAUUCCAGGUGUAGCGGUGAAAUGCGUAGAGAUCUGGAGGAAUACCGGUGGCGAAGGCGGCCCCCUGGACAAAGACUGACGCUCAGGUGCGAAAGCGUGGGGAGCAAACAGGAUUAGAUACCCUGGUAGUCCACGCCGUAAACGAUGUCUACUUGGAGGUUGUGCCCUUGAGGCGUGGCUUCCGGAGCUAACGCGUUAAGUAGACCGCCUGGGGAGUACGGCCGCAAGGUUAAAACUCAAAUGAAUUGACGGGGGCCCGCACAAGCGGUGGAGCAUGUGGUUUAAUUCGAUGCAACGCGAAGAACCUUACCUGGUCUUGACAUCCACAGAACUUUCCAGAGAUGGAUUGGUGCCUUCGGGAACUGUGAGACAGGUGCUGCAUGGCUGUCGUCAGCUCGUGUUGUGAAAUGUUGGGUUAAGUCCCGCAACGAGCGCAACCCUUAUCCUUUGUUGCCAGCGAUUAGGUCGGGAACUCAAAGGAGACUGCC